AAUGGCACUAGAUGAAUUCACGGUCCUUUUUGCUGUUCCGUGUAUUCACCAGUUCCAUAGA
rnacentral:pre_miRNA from 1 species